GUAGGAGCUGGAGGUGGGUCUGGCCCGCUGCAUCGGGCCAGGCUCACCCCUCCGUUCCCUACAG
rnacentral:miRNA from 1 species